rnacentral:rRNA from 1 species
GUCCACGCAGUAAACGGUGAACACUAGGUGUAGCGGGUAUUGACCCCUGCUGUGCCGAAGUUAACGCAUUAAGUGUUCCGCCUGGGAAGUACGGUCGCAAGAUUAAAACUCAAAGGAAUUGACGGGGCCCGCACAAGCGGUGGAGCAUGUGGUUUAAUUCGACGCAACGCGAAGAACCUUACCUGGAUUUGACAUCCCGGGAAUUCUCUUGAAAGAGAGAAGUGCCCUUCGGGGAGCCCGGAGACAGGUGCUGCAUGGCUGUCGU